GAUGAACGCUGGCGGCGUGCUUAACACAUGCAAGUCGAACGGAGUUGUUUCGCUGACGAGGCUUCGGCCAAAUCUUGAAAUAACUUAGUGGCGGACGGGUGAGUAACGCGUGAGCAACCUACCUAUCACUGGGGAAUAACGCAGCGAAAGUUGUGCUAAUACCGCAUGAGACCACAGAGGGACAUCCCUAAGGGGUCAAAGAUUUUAUCGGUGAUAGAUGGGCUCGCGUCUGAUUAGCUAGUUGGUGAGGUAACGGCCCACCAAGGCGACGAUCAGUAGCCGAUCUGAGAGGAUGACCGGCCACAUUGGAACUGAGACACGGUCCAAACUCCUACGGGAGGCAGCAGUGGGGAAUAUUGGGCAAUGGGCGAAAGCCUGACCCAGCAACGCCGCGUGAGGGAAGAAGGUUUUCGGAUUGUAAACCUCUGUCCUAAGGGAAGAAGGAAGUGACGGUACCUUAGGAGGAAGCCCCGGCUAACUACGUG
rnacentral:rRNA from 1 species